UUCUUUCCCCUAUUCUUUCUCUUUCAUUUUCUUUCUAUCUCCUGACUGUCCUCAUACGUCUCUCUCUCUCUCCUCUCUCUCUACUCAACCAAAACCCUAAGCCCCUUUCUUCUUCCUCGCCGUUCCCUUCUCUCUCCUCAGCCAAAACCCUAAGCCCCUUUCUUCUCCCUCGAAUUCCCUUCUCUCUCCAUUGAAGCGUAGAUCCGUUAUCUCUCCAUUUAAGCCAGGGUUCGUUAAUCAAGUGUCGUCGUUUGUCCUCCUUCGCAAGCGUCGUCGUUCCUCCUCCCUUGCAAGCGUCGUCGGGUCAAUUAUUCGAACCAUGCAUGCAUAAACGAACCACCGCUGCCCUCCGUCGAUAAUCGGAAAUUUGAGUAAACGGGGAAAGAUGAAAGUGAGUCUCAACCGAGUUUCACUAGAGUUCAAAUUGGACGAGUUAUUGGGUUUCUUCAGAGAACAUUGUUUCUUAACAUGGUGAGAAAGCUCCUAAUAUUGUGUAUCGUGGGAAGCUCAAUGAUGGCCAUUGGAUCGCCAUCAAACGACUUCACAGGUCUGCUUGGCCUGAUACUCGGUAAUUUCUGGUCUGUUUAUGGCCGAGCCCAGUCAGAUGCAUCAUCAGUAUCAGGUCAGGAGAGAAAAGAUCCAUCAUGAUACACGUGUAUGGUAUUUCUGCUCAAACUUUUACUCAGCGCAAAUGAUGGUAUUGGACUAUUGGGAACUUCUUAUGUGCUGCUUCUGCUUCCAUGUUACUGCUCCUGCUGCUGCUUCCAUGUUGCUGCUGCUCCUGCUUCUGCUUCCAUGUUACUGCUCCUGCUCCUUCUUUUCUUUAUGUUAGGAUUAUUAAUUCUAUUUUUAAAGAAAGAGGAAUUAAGGUUACAAAUACCCCUGUUGUUUUGAUUGAUGAUGUUGCGGAUUUGUCGAUUGGGCUUAGCUUGCUGUAUUGCUUUGCUUUGGUGUUAAUUGUAUGAUUGUUGGGUUAUUAAUUCUAUAAUUGUGUUGAAGUGGGAUUGAUUUGCUUUGGUGUAAUUUGAGUAGAAAGGAACUAAUUUCAAAGUGGAUUUUGAAAUAGGUUUUGAUUAUAUUGUUUGGGGGUGGUAAUUUGAGUAGAAAGGGAGCCAGUAUCACAUUGAAUUGUUAUGCUUGGUGUAAUUUGGCUCUCUUGAAAUUGAAUUGGUUAUGCUUUGGUAUAAUUUGAGUUGAGUAAAUGCCAAUAUCACAUUCAAUUUGGGUUA